AUGUCCACCGAUGACGAACGUACUGCUGCCGAGAAAGCUGAAGCCGACAAGAAGGCCGCCGAGGACGCCGUUGCUGCCACCAAAGCCGCGGCCUCUGCAUGGCCUACUGGACGCCGCCGGCGACCUCUCCUUGACCAUUACCGUCUCCCCACCCGGGCUCCGACCUACCCACCAUCUCAAGCAGGUCCAGAUCCGCCACGGCUCCCGCAGCCACGCGCCGGCAGACCAAGCAGGCGCACGACGUGGUCUCUUCCCCCUCUCCGCCUCUGCGCGCUGGUGCACGACGUGUGGUUACUCUUCCACUCUCGUGGUCACCAUUCUGCUUCCUCUCCUCCACUGGUUCAGCAGCAGCAACAGGUAGCACCUCAUCCCCAUCUCACCUCGGCUAAUCUACAGACCAUUGACAAGCGAUUUGGAGGGAACAAGCUGAGCAAUUGCAGCCGUCGUCCUCGCCUAGGAGGAGGAGGAGGAGGAAGAGGAGGAGCUCCAUCACAUCAGCAGCAGUUCAGGUCCAUCCUCUUCCUCUUUGCUCAUCUUGCUUCUGAAUUCCAGUUUUCAAUUAGGCAGGACAUGAAGUUGUGGCCCUUCAAGGUCAUCCCUGGCCCUGCUAACAAGCCCAUGAUCGCCGUCGACUACAAGGUCAUGUACCCGUGCAAUGCUUGUUUCCUUGAACCAGAAGCGGCAGGGGCCCUAUUCGGUGUCAACUUGUUAGUGGCCGGUGGGGCGGGAGGGUCGUGUGUGUGCGCCCUGUGUAUAAAUACCCCAUGUACUGAUCAACCGGAGGUCCCGGUUUGGCAUGAGAGAAACAACAAUUAUGAAUGGACGAUUGGUGCGCUGGUACCCAGGUCAAUCCAGUCGCUAGUCAAUCCCUCGCACAGCCUUCGUCGUUGUCAGUUUAUUAACCUCCUCAAUCCCCUCGCACAGCCGCCGCCGCCGACCCUCCCCUCGACCGUGGCGACGACGGCGUCCCUCCUGUCGGUCGUGCCGCCGCUGCCUCAGACCGUCACACGGCCGCAGCCGCCUAUGCUUUUUCUCGCACCUCCCCUAAUCCAGUUCCCGUCCAAAGCCGCCGCCGCAAACAAGGGAUCCCACCGGACCUCGCCGCCGCCGCAAUCAAGGGAUCCCGCCGGAUUGCCGCCAGGAGCCGCAGGAACUGCAUGCCAUCAGGCGCGGCGUGCCGAGCCCGCCGAAGCCUCCUCUGCCCCACCGCCCCCUGCAGCGCAUCCCUCCGUCGAGCAUCCGGUCAUGCCGAGCAACGCCGCGGACCAGUCCGUAGGCAGGCAUGAGUACCAGAGGGUGGCUACCAUUGUUUGUAGGAUUAAGGAAAUGAUCUGGAUGAGGGCCAUGGGCUUAGAUCUAUCUGGCCGACCUCAUUUGAGCUGCGGCUUAAGUAUUCCUACUGCACGGGUUCCAGCAAGGAAAUUUGUGUGCCGCUAUCCUGAACCUCCUCUGCUUUCUCUGAAACAGGGUUGCCAUGUGAAGAAAAAGGAUAUGUGGGAGCUUUUGAAUGGACAAAGGCUUCAGCAAGGAAGAGAAGACAGAUGCAUUUCCUUACUUGCAAUUCCAGUGAUCAUUUCAGUACUGGCUUGUCAUGUACUGACCCUGAACUCUGAAACUGAUUCAACCAAUGUGCUAUCUGAUUGGUUAUACCCAGUUAAACCCAUCUGCUUUCCUACCCUAGCCGCCGCCGCCGCCACCAGGCGACUAGGGCGAGGCGACUCUUUUCCUCCGAUCUCCACCGGCCGGUGCGCUGGCCCCCUCUCCCUUCGGCCGCUGUUCCGGCAGCAGGAGGGAGAGGGGACCCCGUUCCUCCGCUCUGUAGUUAGGUUUUGGAUUUUUAGGUCGUGGUGCGUCAUUGGGGUGGUGGGAGCGGCGCCCGGACGAAUAAAUCUGCCUCAACCCCACUCCCACACCGGCGGUGUCCUUCAUGGCGGCGUCUCGGAGUUGAUGGCAUCGUGUCUCUGUCGAUCCCUCAGAUCGACAGCGUUAGGGUUCAUGGAUGGUGUUGACGAGGCGGCGGCGGCGACUCCAUCAGGUGUGUCUCUCCUUCUGCUCUGUCCCCGUUGUUGUGGCGUUGUCUCCGACGUCAUGGUGGAGCAGGGAGGUUUUGCCGUUCAGGAGUACGCGCAGGCGGUUGUCUACGCAAGAGCAAUCAAUCUUAUAUCAUGCGCGUAUCUAUCGCCCCUUCCCAAAUAUUCUCAUGCUCCGCUCCCACCUCCCCCAUUAUGUGCAACAACCUCUGAUCACCUCCGAUUCACACGCGACCUUCUCCUCCGAGGCCAGUCCCAUCGAACGCCGCCGACCUGUUCACCGGCUGUAUCGGAGCCGCCGUCCUCACCCACAGGAAUGGAGCUGCCGCCGACCGCCCAUCUGCCCUGCGGAAUACGACGUCACUGCUUGUUCUUCGUCCACACGUUGGAUUUAAGGCUCGUACAUGAUUAUGUUGGAAUGUUCAUUUAUUUGGCGUCCUGGGUACCGCCCGCAGGAAUGGCUAGUUCGUCCAAUAGUUAUGCUGACACAGAAUUACCACUACCAGACGUAACCAAUCAGGCUUUUUUGGAGGAACUCAGUGUGAAACAUGCAAAUAUGAGGUUAUCGUGCUCACCUUCAAGGUUCGCGGACAUGAUCGACAGAUUAGAUCCUGACCACCAAAAGGUCGUCUGCAAUAAAACUGGUCUUGGAGGGCCCGGCCUGGAAAAUAUUUUCAAGCCUGCUGCGUUCAGAUUGCUACAAGCUUCGGAAAAAAAAUCAUACAAGAAUCCUAUAACGACGGACGAGUACGAAGCAAGCAUUCCAGAAGAACGAAAAGGUGCAGAUGACGACGUCACGAUCAUCAUCAACCCUGAUGUUACAAACAAACCAGACACAUCUGGUGCCCCAAAGCGUAAACGUGGACACCCGAGGAAGAAUGCCCCUCCUAGUAAUCCAGUCAAACAACAAUUUGACACCAAGACUAUCGCUAAACAAGUGAGGUUAAUGGACGCAAUCGCAGACUAUCAAGCGUGGUGUCUAGCCCAUUCGUACAGCCAUGAAUGGGCAGUUCCACAUGAUUGUUCUUCGUAG
rnacentral:rRNA from 1 species